UUCAAAUGAACAAUUUAACCGUAAGCUGAGAACAUACUCAGAAAAGAGAGAAACACUGCUUUCCUUCCGGAAGUUGCACAGAGGAGGAAGUUUCACACUGAAGCUCCAAGCACCACUUCCGUAUUGCGACGUCACAAUAGAACGUUGAGACGACAGAGCUUCCCCCGAUCCCACUUUUGACCCCUGGUUUCCUGGCAACUGGAGGAAGGUCACCAGGACCCGAAACGUUAGCUCUGCUUUCUCCUCCACAGAUACUGCCGACCUGUGAGCUUUUCCAGCAAAUUUGUUUUUGUUUCCUGGCAACUGGCCCUGCCCCAUUACCAGGGUUACGUUCAGACCGGGACUGGUUUUCUGUCCAGAGAUAGUAGGAUCUGCAGAUGCUGGAGGAUCUGCUGAGAUAACAAGGUGCAGAGCUGGAUGAACAGAGCAGGCCAAGCAGCAUCAGAGGAGCAGGAAGGCUGACGUUUCAGGCCUAGACCCUUCUUCAGAAAUGGAGGAGGGGAAGAUGGUUCUGAAAUAAAUGGGGAGAGAGGGGGAGGCGGAUAGAAGAUGGAUAGAGGAGAAGGUAGGUGGAUAGGAGACAGACCGGUCGAAGAGGCGGGGAUGGAGCCAGUAAUGGGGAGGUAGGGAGGAGAUAGGUCAGUCCGGGGAGGACGGACAGGUCAAGGGGGCGUGAGGUUAGGAAGAAGGAGAUGGGGGUGGGGCUUGAGGUGGGAGGAGGAGAUAGGUGGGAGGAAGAACAGGUUAGGGAGGUGAAGACGAGCUGGGCUGGUUUUGUGAUGCUGUGGGGGGGGGGGUAGAUUUUGAAGCUUGUGAAGUCCACAUUGAUACCAUUGGGCUGCAGGGUUUUCAAGCGAAUAUGAGUUCUUGUUCCUAUAACCUUCGGAUUGCAUUGUUGUGGCACUGCAGGAGGCCCAGGAUGGACAUGUUGUCUGAGGAAUGGGAGGGGGAGUUGAAAUGGGUCGCCACUGGGAGGUGCAGAUGUCUAGGGCAAACCGAGCAUAAGUGUUCUGCACAGUGGUCGCCAAGCCCUGGCUUGGUUUCCCCGAUGUAGAGGAGGGCACAAUGGGAACAGCGGAUGCAGUAUACCACAUUAGCAGAUGUGCAGGUUUCCUGGCAAUUGGGCACGGUCAGUGUCUUGUUAUUGCAUCAAGUCCACAAGGGUGUCCGAAAAUGAACCUGACAUUUGGCGCCGUGAGCAGGGUUCCAACAUGUACAGCAGUCUCACGUGGAGGGCUGAAUAAGUGAUCGUUCGAGUGUCGGUGGAGUGAGACGGAUGGGCCCGCAAGGUACAAUUCACCUUGGUCUCUCUCACUAACAUGGCACCCGUGCGACCCCUUGUCCCUGUGUGGCUCUGUACUGACGGAACCCCGAGACAACUCACGGUCUUGAACACUGCUAAAUCCUAACAUCUGGAGGUUCGAGUCCCCAGGUGAAGUGCGCCUUUGGACCACCUCCGCAGACACCGGACCAAGACCUCAAGAUUCAGGAUCGGUCUUCGCGGCCGCAGAUUGGAGAUUUUGUACGUGUCCGGGACUGGGAUCGCCCCAAGGUGGAAAGGACCAAGUGCUUCUUCAGACUCCAACAGCUCUUAAAGUUAAAGGACAGAAUCGCUGGAUCCACUUGAGUUACUGUAAAUGGUGGAUUUCCUCAUCAGCUUGCAAUUUAACCAUUGGACUGAGUAUUAUUCUGCCUGUGCAUGGCCAGCAGGACAAUCUGUUUUAUAGGACACACAUCCACUGCAUGGGAAUCAGACAGCAUGUUACCUGCUAGCACGGCCUGAAGCGUUAUUUGUGGCAACACCAGCCUGGAACCCUAGUCAGCUUUAUGAAGUAGAAUAUUCCAGUAAGCCUUGCCGAGGGGAGAGGGGAACUUGAACGAGAGUUGUGCAGGGUAGGUGUGUGGAAUUGGUAGUUAAUGGCCCCUCUGGUUGUGUGGACACUAGACCUAGGCAUGGGAAGGAAGGGGCUAACUGUACAAGUCCCAGCAGCUAUCUGUUUUGCUUUAAUGGAACUGGGACUUGUUGUGUGCCUGCUCUAGCCGCUAAUCACCCCCAUAAUGUUUCCUGGCCCCAUCAGUGCGUAAAGAGAAAUUGCACCAGUAGAGGAGGACUGUUGAACUGCCCCUGCUUAGAAUCUAAGCCAAUAACUGUGACCCUAGGCAUUCAGUGGACUUGUGGGGAUUGCAAUAUCACCCAUAUAAAAAUGGACUACGGGUCAUUUCCAUUUAACUCCGCAAACUUCCAUCCAUAUAAGAGUCAGUCCUCCUGGCAUAACUAUCAAGAAAUACAUGAGUCUGUUCCCUGCUACCAGGCUAAAAAGGGAUUUGUUUUCCUCCUUAAUGGGACCUUCAACGACUGCCACUCCAACUUUGCCGGUGUUGUUUGCAGUUGGGACCGUUGGGCCCCUCACUGUCCCUUGUCCCCAACAAGCACGAAUUCAAUGGUGAAUUGUCACAGGCUACCUGAGCCGGGAGUUUUGUGCUGCAUGGCAGAACCCAAUUGCCUUGGGCUCUUCCUUGAGAAUACGGCUUCCUGGGAACUGUCAGCUUGGGAGGCUCCCCAGGGGUGGUGGCUGCAAAAAAAAUCGAAAUUACCUUAUAUGUGGACUCACUGCCCUGGGAAACAGCACAAUAAUGGCACUGGAGGCAGUCAACCAAGAAUUAGCCGGACUUCAGCUCCAUGCUCAGCAAACACGGUAUGCAGUGGACUAUCAACUGGCUCAGCAGGAGGAGUAUGCACUAUUAUAGGGGACAAGUGUAUUAUCCAUGUCACCAAUGAGUCCUAUAACAUUAUCCAGGCUAUGCAAGCCAUACAGGGGCAGUUGGAAAAGUACAGAGAGGGACCCAACCUGGGGAGAGAUUGUUAGGAUGGCUUAUGAGCGGUUCUUGGGGCUCACACUUGCUACAUGGGUUAAUUGUUCUAGUAGUUGUCAUAACUAUCUGCUGUACAUUUAUGGCAUGCCUGAACCCUUGCUGCAGACUUGUGUUUAACAGGCUGGUAGCUCCCUUCUCGGCCCCGAUAGAGGUUAUCAUGAAAUAAUAAAAGGCGGGAAUGAGAUGUUAUUGGGAUAACAUCCCAUUGAUUUCUGUACUUGUAUAAAUUAAUGUCCUUUAUCUGCCUACACAUCGGUACGCAGACGCUGCCUUAAGCUUCCUGACUGAAUAGAAUUAGAGUUAAACUGUCUCAAAUAAGGUGAAGUGAGGAACGUUUGUAAAGGUGUGAGACUUCUGAAGUAUGUAACCUCUGUCUCUGACAAGGGGGCCAGGGCACUGACUUUGUUCCAGCCAGACACAUCGGCAACUUGAAAUUACAAUCUGUCUCGUUAACAACUUGAAAUUGCCUCCUGCCAUUAGCAGCCACUUCACGAACGAUCAAUAUCCUGGUCUUUUAUGUUCUUGAUGUAAUAAUUGUUUUGUAUCCUGUCUUUGUCUGUUGUAAUAAUUACUUCAUGUAUCAUGUCAUUGCGAGAUGUGAAAUUCUUUUCUGUAUUAUGUACUUAGUAAAGUAUAAAAAGCGGGGACUGUCCGCUACUUGGGGAGAAUUACUUACGAGACUCUGCACUCUGUGCCAUGUUGAGUACAGUGAUUCUCCACAGCUUGUACUUGCUUGGUAAUAAAGGAUUUGUGUUUUUCUAAA